UUUAGCAGAUCUAAAGCUUCUUAAAAAAAACAAUCCCCUCUUUCGAAAUCCUUUUGACCCUCUCUCUUCUCUUGGCCAACCUGCGAGCGAUGGUGGAGUCGGGUGCGCCCUGUCUCCGUCACGGCUUCAAACAGAUCCCUAGGGAUCUGCACGCCUCUGAACAGGAGAAGUAGCCACCGACUAGGUCGACGCUGGUCAAUGGGUGUGCGUGGAGGUGUAUGGUGUACGGAGGCGCUGGAGGCUGCUGCGGCGCUGAGCGAACGGGGCUAGGGUUUUGAGUGCUUAAUGUUGUUGGGCUUGUUAGGCCGUGUAACUUUGGGCCAGGUCUUAGGUUUUGGGUUGUAAAAAUAGGCAGAUUUGGGCUGACGUAAUUGGACUCUAAACAUUUAAUUAUUUUGGUUUUUUUCUUCGGGCCCAGGCAAAUUUUGGGUCUUACAAUGAUAGUCUAUGAAAGUAACUACGAAUAUUUAAAUUUAAUGUUUUAAUUUAUGAGAGGGGCUAAAAAAAAUUCUUGCGUUUA